rnacentral:misc_RNA from 1 species
AAGUCGUAACAAGGUUUCCGUAGGUGAACCUGCGGAAGGAUCAUUAACACGUUCCACGUAUCCACCCGCGAACCUGUCUUAUAACGAGACUAAGCUCUGGUAGUACCUGUUAAGCUUUCGCAUAGUCCGCAAACCCCGAUAAGGAAACAGGCUGUAUAAGCCUGGCGGCUGCUGAUUGUAUAUCCUCCUUCUUGGAGGCAGGCUCUGGAUGUCUGGUCAUGUUUCUAUUCCUUAUCGACUUUCUAUACAACUAUUUACCCCAUUCCGAAACGUACUAAUUCAUAUUUCUUUUCUUAAAGAAAUGUUGGGCUAGUGGCUUUGGCCGCGACUCUAACACCAAUAAGAAAAACCUAAAAGAACAACUCUUAACAACGGAUAUCUUGGCUCUC